UAUAAUAAAAAAGAUAAAUCAUAGUUAUCAUAUCUAAAUAUCUAAUUAGUUAUUACUAUUUAUAGUUAUUUGUUACUGCUUAGACUUAUGUAACUAUAUAUAUAUAUAGUAUAAGUCAUGAAUAACACUAGUAUGAGUAGUAUGAAAUAACCUAUUUACUGUUUUCUAUAAUUUAUAUAAACCCGUCACUAAUUGUUCCCAAGUUACUACGCGUCAAUCAGUUCAACAGACAACAACGUUUUUAAUACGUGUGAAGAGUUACUACUCCGGUUACUACAUAGAAUUUAAGUUAUCGCCAUGUCAAAACCCAAAGUGUUUGUUGCAAUGAGACAUGUUCCAGAACUUGCAAUUGAUUUACUUCGUAAAAGGUUUGAUGUCGAAAUAUGUGAUUCCUUGCUAGCCACUCGGGCAGAAAUUAUGCAAAAAAUACCUGGAAAAUUUGCAAUAUUUUGUAGUCCAUCAAACAAAAUUGACGAAGAAUUAAUUAAAACUGCAGGCACGAGUCUAAAGGUUGUUGGAACCAUAUCUGUGGGAUAUGAUCACGUUGACUUAACUGCACUGAAAAAAUAUGGCAUACGUUUGGGAUACACGCCAGAUAUUUUAACUGAAACAGUAGCAGAAACAACAAUUGGAUUGUUGAUAUCAACAACAAGACGAUUUUUUGAAGCAAAUCAUGCAUUAAAAACAGGUGAAUGGAAAAAUUCAACACCUGUUUGGAUGUGCGGUAGGGGCAUUAGAAACUCAGUUGUUGGUAUUGUUGGAUGUGGCAACAUUGGGACAUCAAUUGCAAAAAAGUUGAAUACAUUUGAAAUUUCUCAAUUACUGUAUACCAGUAGAACUGAAAAACCUGCUGUUAAAGCUCUUGGUGGAAAAUUGGUUACAAUCGAUGAACUUGUAGAACAGAGUGACUUUAUAAUUCUUUCUGUCGCACUGAAUGAGGACACAAAAUUUAUCAUUAACAAAGAACGCAUUGCCAAAAUGAAGUCACAUGCUGUUUUGGUGAAUAUUGGUCGUGGAGCACUUAUUGAUCAAGAUGAACUCAUCAAAGCAUUACAAGAAAAUAGAAUUGGAGGUGCUGGCUUAGACGUUAUGACACCAGAACCAUUACCACUUGAUAACCCUCUAAUUAAGAUGAAUAAUGUUGUGUUGUUGCCACACAUUGGGAGUGCUUCUAUUGAAACACGGACAGAAAUGGCUAUUACCACUGCCAAAAAUAUAAUUGCUGCUUUGGACAAUACUCCAAUGCCAAACGAAGUGCAAUUUUAGGUUAAUGGUUAUAUCCUAAUCAAAAUUGCAUAAAAAUAAUCUACAUUGUUAAAUGUUACAAGAUGUACAAACAUACUCAUAAGUGUAUGCUGACAUUAUGGACAAAAUAGGUAAAAAAAAACUAUUCAUAUUCAAAUCUCAGUUCUGUUUCAACUACUGUUCUGCUGUUACUGAUGAGGUAACAUUUAUUAAGAGUAACUAAUUUAUGUACAUUAAUCAUUUGACGGAAGUAGCCAUCCAAUGAUGAUACUACUUAUUCUAUUAUUUAAGUUUGGAUCAAACAUUUUUAUUUGUAAGAGGGGGAGCUUAGUCAAUUAUCUAAUGACUAAUAUGUCACAAUUGUUACAACAUAAUUUGCGUUUAAUUCCUCAAAUACCUGUGAUCUGCCUAAAUUAAAAAAUACAUAGAUAUAAUUUGUUUA